AACGAACGCUGGCGGCAGGCUUAACACAUGCAAGUCGAACGCCCCGCAAGGGGAGUGGCAGACGGGUGAGUAACGCGUGGGAACCUACCUUUCGGUACGGAAUAACUCGGGGAAACUCGUGCUAAUACCGUAUAUUCCGGUAACGGGAAAGAUUUAUCGCCGCAAGACGGGCCCGCGUUAGAUUAGCUAGUUGGUGGGGUAAUGGCCUACCAAGGCGACGAUCUAUAGCUGGUCUGAGAGGAUGAUCAGCCACACUGGGACUGAGACACGGCCCAGACUCCUACGGGAGGCAGCAGUGGGGAAUCUUGGACAAUGGGGGAAACCCUGAUCCAGCCAUGCCGCGUGAGUGAUGACGGCCUUAGGGUUGUAAAGCUCUUUCACGCAUGACGAUGAUGACGGUAAUGCGAGAAGAAGCCCCGGCUAACUUCGUGCCAGCAGCCGCCGUAA
rnacentral:rRNA from 1 species